rnacentral:misc_RNA from 1 species
GGCGCGUGCGGCGGCGGAGGCGGUGGAGAUGGAGGGGAGUAAUCCUGGUGAAAGAGAUCAGAAUCGAAAUCGACUAUCGAUAAAUGAUCCUCCCUACUCGGGGAGAGAACAAGGUUAGUGUUUGUAAUUAGCGUGGUUACGAGAAUGGCGAAAUGGAAGGGAGUGAACGAGUGAAAUCCAGCCAUUCACUGGUGGGGAAAGUCAUUAGAAUUGAAGGUCAGGAUUCUGCAAACGGAAGCACAUUAGGACCACCAUUAAAGACCAGUUUCUUCAAUUUAGAGACGAAGAGAAAACCCUAGAAAUGGCUCCCCUGCAAUUAAGAUUUGAGUUUUUCGA